rnacentral:rRNA from 1 species
GACGAACGCUGGCGGCGUGCUUAACACAUGCAAGUCGAACGGAAAGGCCCUGCUUUUGUGGGGUGCUCGAGUGGCGAACGGGUGAGUAACACGUGAGUAACCUGCCCUUGACUUUGGGAUAACUUCAGGAAACUGGGGCUAAUACCGGAUAGGAGCUCCUGCUGCAUGGUGGGGGUUGGAAAGUUUCGGCGGUUGGGGAUGGACUCGCGGCUUAUCAGCUUGUUGGUGGGGUAGUGGCUUACCAAGGCUUUGACGGGUAGCCGGCCUGAGAGGGUGGCCGGCGUCAUGGGGGAUGAGGGAGGAGGGAGAGGGGGACUGGGGGAAGUGGGGGGGAGGGUGGCAGAGGAGGGGGGAGUGAGAGGCGGCGGCGGCGGGGGUGGGAGGAGGGGUGGCGAGGGGAGAAACGGUAGCGGCUGUGAUGAGUGGCGAGGGAGGGUAAGUGGAAAAGAAGCACGGGCUAACUACGUG